UACGAAGGGGGCUAGCGUUGUUCGGAGUCACUGGGCGUAAAGGGCGCGUAGGCGGCCAUAUAAGUCGGGGGUGAAAGUCUGUGGCUCAACCACAGAAUUGCCUUCGAUACUGUAUGGCUCGAGACCGGAAGAGGUAAGUGGAACUGCGAGUGUAGAGGUGAAAUUCGUAGAUAUUCGCAAGAACACCAGUGGCGAAGGCGGCUUACUGGGCCGGUUCUGACGCUGAGGCGCGAAAGCGUGGGGAGCAAACAGG
rnacentral:rRNA from 1 species